GAACGCUGAAGCCAGAAGCUUGCUUCUGGUGGAUGAGUGGCGAACGGGUGAGUAACACGUGAGUAACCUGCCCCUGAUUUCGGGAUAAGCCUGGGAAACCGGGUCUAAUACCGGAUACGACCAACCCUCGCAUGAGGGUUGGUGGAAAGUUUUUCGAUCAGGGAUGGGCUCGCGGCCUAUCAGCUUGUUGGUGGGGUAAUGGCCCACCAAGGCGACGACGGGUAGCCGGCCUGAGAGGGCGACCGGCCACACUGGGACUGAGACACGGCCCAGACUCCUACGGGAGGCAGCAGUGGGGAAUAUUGCACAAUGGGGGAAACCCUGAUGCAGCGACGCCGCGUGAGGGAUGACGGCCUUCGGGUUGUAAACCUCUUUCAGUAGGGAAGAAGCCUUCGGGUGACGGUACCUGCAGAAGAAGUACCGGCUAACUACGUGCCAGCAGCCGCGGUAAUACGUAGGGUACAAGCGUUGUCCGGAAUUAUUGGGCGUAAAGAGCUCGUAGGCGGUUCGUCGCGUCUGCUGUGGAAACGCAAGGCUCAACCUUGCGCGCGCAGUGGGUACGGGCGGACUAGAGUGCAGUAGGGGAGUCUGGAAUUCCUGGUGUAGCGGUGAAAUGCGCAGAUAUCAGGAGGAACACCGGUGGCGAAGGCGGGACUCUGGGC
rnacentral:rRNA from 1 species